UGGCGUUUGUCAUACAGGUCGGCGUUCGUCACGCAGAUUAUAGCGCAGCUGUUACUUUUGCCUUCUAGGUAAAUAAGUUAUUAUUUUCUAAAGGUGAAACAAGAAAACUUGAAAUAGCAUCCAAAAUGUAGUUGGAGGGAUGAUUGCUAUUUGUUGUUUAAAAAAUAUGUAUUCCCAUUAACACAGAACAAUGAUAUGUGGCCAUACCCGCAAGCUACGUGAAGCCAGAUAAAUUUUUGAUCUACUUAGUCAGGUGUAUCUAAAGAAAUUUUUGAAAUUUACAUUUGGCUGGUGAAGUUAUUACACAAAGCCUGAAGUGGUGCACUGCUGGAGUUGCCACGCAGGCCUGGCAUAUGUCCCUUUUUGUGGUAUUUCCCGUUUCUCUGUCUUUUGAAUACCAACGUUUGGUGGUAUAUGUAUACAUUUACUGUGGUUUUAUAAAGUAUGUAACUAUCUUCGAAAUAUGUUUACCCUGCUCGCCCCAAACGUGAUGAAUCAUUAGGGAGGAUAGUCAGGAUACCCGACAUCAGCAACACACGACUUUGUGACGAGACAGAAAUUACGUUGCUCAUACGUUUACAUCCCAGUCGAAAGCCUGAAUUCACAACGACUUGCAAAUAGAGUUUCAUUGAAAACGGACGUAGAUCUCUUAUCUCUGAAAAAAAAAAAAAAAAAGAUGUUGCUGUCUGGAAUUGUGCGAACAACUGCGGUAGAAGAGGCCAUCAAAAAGCAGAAGUUAGUGUCCCCAAUGCCAGCUAAAUCUCCGAAAUUGAAAUGGAUGGCCAUUGGAGGCUUCGUUGUGGGUUUCAUGGCAGUUUUGAAAUACACCGGCAACCUGAACAAGGCCUUCUUCAUUGAUUGGUUUAAAGAAAUUCCAACCGACGUUAAGCAACGUGCGGGUGGAGGCAUGGCUGAGUCACCAAGCGACGUCAGACUACCUCCUGGAUCGCGCAACAACUAGAAGAGCUUUAUGGCUGCGUUCGAGUAAAUCCGAAACCAAAUGUCCUUUAUUUUUGAUUUUUUAAAAUAUAAAUUGUGUUUCCAAAUUCUCACUUUUUAUUUCUUAAAGAUAUCGUCUAUGUGUACAUGAUUGGAUUGAGGUUGGAAAAUAUAUUCAGUUAAAAACUA